AAGAGUAGCCCCCACUGACCACAGCUAGAGAAAGCCGUGCACAGCAACAAAGAUCCAACGCAGACCAAAAAAAAAAAAAAAAAAAGGAAAUGAUGGAUGCAUAGCCCUUACCCAAUGUGUGACCCCUGGCUGGUCCAGCUAACAAUAAUGAAGCCACUUCUCCUCCCCCCUACCCAAGGGUGAGGCCAGGAAAGGAUUCACAGAAGCUUUAAAAUGGAAGAAGUUAAAAUCACUAAAACCACUGCUAAAUUUGACCAAGAAGAGAAGAAACUGAGAAGAGCAGAGCCACCAUGGUUGAGGAGUGGUGCUCCAUAGUCCUAUCCUAACCUCAAGGUGCGUGAGAUGUGGUAUGGAAAGCACCAGGCUGAUUGAAAUGACUUGGAGUCUUAAUCCCAGGAAAGGACAAUCAGCUAAUCUUGAAGGAAUUGUGAGGAAGCAGAGUGAGAUGCCUAGGAAUGGAAUGGCUGGGUCCUGUUGAACACUCAGUUCCACUAGGAACUUUAUGAACAAGAGGAACAGGUUCCUAGACUCACUUUCUAGGGGGGAAAGAGGCAGUAAAACAUGUCAACAAAUGAACAAUAAAGGAACAGAAGAAGGAGGAGAAGGAAGGAAAGGAAGAGGAGGAAGGCAGAGAGGAGUAGAAAACCAUCUAUUUCACUGACUUAAGAAACUGCUGCUUUCAUCCUUCCAUGAUAUCCUCAGUCCUUGUCUAGAUGCUUCUGUAAUCAUCAGGUUGCAGCAACUGAGCUACCCAGGAAAGGACUAACCUGUCCACUCCUUGACUUGUGGUCUUGACUCCCCUUCUGGCUGCAGGGGUAGAUUUGAACCAGAGAUGAGGCCUAGAGGCAUUGGGAAGAGUCGAACAAAGAAAGAAAAAGGAAGGAUGUCAGCUGCUUUCUACCUGAUGGAUUUUCUUCACUUUCAUCACAGAUGUGUGUGGGAGUGUGGGAGUCAGGAAUCAUCCGAGCAAACAGAGAGAAGGAGAGCAUCAAGAUUGUGCUGGAAGAAAAAUGGCCUUCAGGCUCUUGGAAGAGUUGCCCACCCUGAUCCUCUGGCUUUGAUCUCCAGGCUCCAUUAGAACAAGCAGAGACAUGAAGCGGGAGCAGCCUUGGCUGUGAUCUACCUACACAGGGGAGGAGGUAAUCCCCUCCAAGGGAACCUUGAGCCACGGCCCCUGCUGACCAGAGGAGACCCAGACCGAGGACUUCCUGAAGGCAGGUGCUGUGGCCACACCUCCAGAGGAAGAUCAUCACGUGGACAGAGUGGGGACAGCCGCCUUCUUUGUGUUCAAAAGUAUGGCCUGUGG